ACGCUCGACACCUACGGAGGCAGCAGUCGGGAAUAUUGCGCAAUGGAGGAAACUCUGACGCAGUGACGCCGCGUAUGGGAAGAAGGUUUUCGGAUUGUAAACCAUUUUAGACAAGGAAGAAACAAGACAGUACUUGUAGAAUAAGCUCCGGCUAACUACGUGCAAGCAGCCGCGGUAAUCUGAGCGGGCUGGCAAGGC
rnacentral:rRNA from 1 species